AACAGACUGAUUUAGGAGAGACAGCUCAGGUGGGGGCUAUCUGCUCCCGGUACUAGACAUAUAUGGUCUUAAGUGUUGUUUUAAGCAUUAAGCAUUUCCUGAGUCCAAGUUAGCCAAUUUUAAUAAUGGAUAUCUAAUAUGAUACCUAUAAGCUUGAACCUUGGAAUCAAAGUAAAUUCUUUCACAAUUCCCUCUUUUGAUCCAAG